ensembl:lncRNA
CAGUACCCUUGGUUAACCACUGGAGGACUGUCCCUUGUUCACGUGAAGGCAUUGGGCGGUGUCUGCCUUCUCUUGAAAGUAGCUGUCCAGUCCUGCUUUACGUCGCACGUACUACUAUGACGGGGACGGUCGUAUGUGCUGUUAUUUAUUUGCGACACACCCCUAACGCGAUGGUGGUCUACAAAAUGAAAAAAACGGUAGGACGGCUCGGCCAAGUAGUAUAGGCAGCUCAUUACUAGUUUUAGCAGACCCAAAUCUACUGAGUUUUGUUGUAUUCUAAUUUUGCUACGUCGUUCAUUGCCACUUUGAUGCAGGUAGGAAAACCUACGUAUUUAUUUGAAGGGAGCAUUAAAGCCAAUGCCUGGGGUUCAUAUGCCUAACAUUAGGCUAAGUGAUUAGCUGAACAAAUCAAAAUAAACACACAAUUGAGCAUGAAUUGCGUUCUAAUCUAUUGUGCUAUCGUGUUUCUCCAGAACAUGCUAUUGAUUCUACUGACGUUACUCAGUACUCCCAACUGCAUGGGUAAGCAGAUUAUAAGCGACUUUAUUUCCAAUACAGUCAUUAUUAUUACUGGCAUGUGUUUGCGUAUAAUGUAAAAUAAUGCACAGCAGAAGCAGUACAAACGUGCUUGGAAGUUUAUCGAUCUGAAAACCAAGGCUGAUAUUGUCUUCUUUGCUCUCUGUCUCUGUCUCUCCCUCUUGUGUAGGUUACUCUACGGGUACGUCUGUCUUGCAUUCUAGAACAAAAUGUGAAUUAUGUUGAGCCAUCAUGUUGCUAACUGCUCGAUCAUGGUCAUCAGUGCCCAGUGUAGCCGAACCUUUUCUCAGCAUUUGUGUUUGUCUUUUUUAAUCACUCCGUGAUUCACUGCUUCUCUAACUGUUACACUAUUCUUUUACACCCAAUACAGUCAUUUUUACCGCCCCAUUCUCCUCCUCAUCAACCUAUUUUCAGCCUACUGUUGUUUCUCUCACUCACUUUUUUCUCUUGUAGGCUGGAAUGAAGACAGGAAGGUUGUGUGCUCAGGGAAAGAUUUCCAAGUACCUGUCUUCUCAAGGUCGAGGAUUGUGACAUUCACUCCCAGCUCACCCCCUGGAUCUAAGAAAGUACUGCUGGAGAAUAAUAUUGUAAAGGAUCCAAGGUAUGAAUGGACCCGUGACCAGACUCUACUGGUGAGGGAGGUCACCCACCGGGACCAGGGAGUCUAUGCUGUCAAAUUUUCCCAUGGUUUUACCGUCGAGAGAGUCGAGCUCGUUGUCUCAGAAUGCAUUAGGAAGUUCCAUAAACAAUAUGGAGACACCUUUAAACUGGACAUCCCACAGGAUGGAGCCAUUCUGGAGUUAAACCCCUUCGCCCCCCUAUCUCUCCCUCCCACAUCUUCUCCUUCCCCCUCUCCCUCUCCUUCCUCUCUGUCCCCCCCUCUAUCCCCCUCUCCCUCUCCUUCUUCCUCUCUAUCCCCCUCUCCCUCUCCUUUUCCCUCUCUGCCCACCUCAAUCUCCUCCACCCCCUCUCCCCCUCCUUCUUCCUCUCUGUCCCCCCCUCUCUCUUUCUCCCCCUCCCCCUCUCACUCCUCCUCACCUUCUCCUCCUGUUUCUCAUCCUCCCACCCUGCCGCUAAUUCUCUGGACCGACGGCAGCCCCAGUGAGAGUAAAGGGGGCAGAGGGAGGGCGGAGGGCAGAUCCUGGGUGGUGGACAGGGUGACACUGGUGGACCAGGGCGACUACACCAUCAAAGACAGCCAUGGCGAGGUGGUGGCCAGAGCCAGCCUGACGGUGACAGCCCGCUGGUCCAAUCUCACUCUUUACAACAAGGAGUCUCUCUUCAUCCCUCUGCACGUGCCCCUCCCUCAGGCCCAGCUGCGUCUCACAGCGGUCCUCUCCUCUCACUCUCACUCCCACCCUUCCUCGUCUUCCUCUUCCCCUCCCUCCUACGUCACAUCCCGCUCUCCAACCAUCCUCUUGCGGGACGGGCAGAUUGUGGAGGAGAGGCCGUGGCACCGCAGGCGACUCUCGCUUGAGCGGAACAGCACGGGCAUUUACUUUGUUGUGGCAACUCUCAGUGCAAAGGAUGAUGGGAUAUAUGAAGUCCAUGAUGAACAAGGGAACCUUGUGUCUACAGACAUUGUGAGGGUUGUGGAUAAGCACGUGAGAUGGAGGGCUGUGAUUAAGUCCAUCACGGUCCCCUCGGGCAUGUUUGCGUCUCUGGCUGGUUUUAUCCUCUUCGUGAAGAGGUAUCCCAGCUGCAGUGUCUCAAAGAUACUCAGUGGCCUGAGAGAUCGCCGCAAUGCCACCACUGCCGGCGUCCCACCCAGAGUACACAUUGAGGACUACAGUGAGCCCGACCUCACCAAUUACACCAGUUCUCCAUAUAAGAUCAGAUCGUCCAAACAGUGGAGUUCCAGUCCCGCACACAGUGGUUACUCUCCUGUUGCUCCGAGGGCACAUAGAGACUCCCCUGAGCCUGUCAGAGCAAACGUGCUAGGAACAGGUCCCACUCAGGGCCUACUCAGUGAGCCGUCAGGAAGCGCGAGGAAGACGUCCUUCUCCCUGGCUGGGGCUUCUGACUGCCUCCACUCCUCCGAGCACUGUGCUCAGUUUGAGAUCGCCACGGGCAACAGGAAAGAUGGCUCAAAGAAGAACUUCUUCUCGACACUGCCACUCGACACCGACACGUCUGACAUCUGCAGCGUGUACACGUCAGACAAGCUCAACUUCCUCUAGGGAUGGAGCUACAAAAGGGAUGGGUGGAAGGAGAGAGAGAGAGAGAGAGAGAGAGAGAGAGAGAGAGAGAGAGAGAGAGAGAGAGAGGUGUUUGAAUCUGAGAAGGAAAGAAAAGAUUAGUGUGAGGGAAAGAAUGAAACAGACGGUGGAGAGAUCACCAUGGUGCCUUCAGUCUCUAAAAUUGUAAACCGGUAGCUGAGAAACAGGCAGGACAGAUGCAUAGUGUGGAGCUGAGUAACAGGCAGGACAGAUGCAUAGUGUGGAGCUGAGUAGCAGGCAGGACAGAUGCAUAGUGUGUGUGUGUGUGUGUGUGUGUGUGUGUGUGUGUGUGUGUGUGUGUGUGUGUGUGUGUGUGUGUGUGUGUGUGUGUGUGUGCAUGUGUGUGUGUGUGUGUGGAGCGGAGUAGCAGGCAGGACAGAUGCAUAGUGCUGAGUAGCAGGCAGGACAGAUGCAUAGUGUGUGUCUGAGUAGCAGGCAGGACAGAUGCAUAGUGUGGCAGAGGACAUGCAGAGCUCCAGACUGUUCCAGACAUGACCAAAAGAUAUGGCAGCUGAAUGGUCAGAGUAGAACAAGAGUUGAAUAGUGAGGGCCAAAAUGACUACGGUGGAUACAUUAUGAAUUCAUCUGUUUUUUUGGGGGGGGGAUUGCUGGAACACCAGGAUCACAUAGACGUCCUCUUUAGACUGAUCCAAGAUGGCUAUCCAAGAUGAAAGUGUUCUGCCACCAGUAGCAGGUUUGAUCUCACUCAUUAGAUUAUGUCUGUUUCUGGACACAUCAUUCAACUGGCGUGCUCCCUCCGCACCAGUGAAAAGACUCAUCCCUCGUGAUCUGAAGGACUAUUUGUUUUCCAGGAAAAAAAACUCUUAGGACUGUAGCGUUUUGUGUCCAUAAUCUAUGUGGAUUGUUGGUGUUUCCAGAUCGUCUCCUUUACUUCUCCUGUCCUGCAGUUGUCUACAUUCCUUGGUACAGGAAAUUGUCCCACCUCCUCAAACUGCAUGUCUGACUCAUCACCAGUGCUGCUAUUGGGUUACGGUGCAAACCCAUGACAGCGACGCUUCAGCGACAGCUUCCCUCGCUUUGAGUGGGCGUGUUGUAGCGUGUGGAAAUAUCAUUUUCAAACCGUCAGAGACGACACCAAACAAUCUGAUUGGCCGCUGCCGGGAAAAAUCGCUCCUCAUUUGCAUAGGAUUCAACUUUUUCCAACUUUUAUUGGUCGCGUCGCCCAAAACGGUGGUGUACGUCACAAUGGAUUGGCUCCCGUUGAAAUGCAUGGGAUUUAGAAUAUCACGUCGCUCGUAACGGUGUCAUGGGUUUGCACCGUUAGAGUUGUUUCAUUGCCACUGGUGUGCAGAUUACAUAUGAGUGUUCCUCUGGCCUCUUACAGUAUUUGCACCCAGAGGCAUCAUUCACAGGAAAAGAAAUCUCAACAAGUGAGUUAUAGUCAUGGACAAUCAAUUCCCCUCGUGUCCUGCCUCCUCCCCGCUCCUGUACGCAUCAUAGGGUCUUUGGGAUAGCUUUAAUCUUACAUGCUAUAUAAAUAAAGUUUUAUUACUAUUAUUAAUAUUAUGUAUGGUGACCUACUGCUAUACCCUCAGUAUCAGAACACAUUGACACGUUUUUAAGACACAAUAUCUAAGUCUGCACUCGUAACCUAUGUUCAACCGUGCACUGCACCAUUCAGCAACAUAGUAUGGCUAUUUUGAUGAUCUGUAUCUGAAAUGGCUGUAUGGCCACCUCUGUGCGUCUAUUGCAAUAGUGUUCUAUAUAAUAGCUCUAAUCCGAUUUACCCUACAGAGAUUAUAGUCCUAGCAUGUGAUGGUGGGAUAGUGACUCAUUGAAGAACCCUUUCACUCUGGUGAUGCUGUCAUCUCAUCAGGCCUCAAAGGGUUUUCAUGGGAUUUCCGCCUCGGCCUGUAAAUAACUAAUUUAAGGCACGUCACAAUGCAUGAGCAUGCCAUCGUGUGCCAAUCUAACCUCUCCAUUCCAGAUAGCAGACACCUCCUGGCUGUUCCAGCUAUUACCUGACUAAAACGCUAACGCUGUUUCCUUUAAUAUGUAGCAUACAUUGUUUGAUAUCAUGCCUCACAUAUGUGUUUGAAUCAUAGAGAGAAAAUAAUGCUAUGGAGAUACUGACACUGGAGAGAUGCUGCUUUGUGCUCAAUUGGAUAGAACCCUAUCAUGAACAUGUUUAAAGUAAUAUAGGAAGGAAGAAUAUCGUAAUGUAAGUUUCCUUGACAUCUAAGAGGUAGGCCUCAUAUUGGGGAUAGGAUUACUACAAUGGUGUUGUGUGCAUUAUACCGAAACCAGAGUAUUUUGGGUAUUGAAUUUAAAAAUCUAGAUUUAUAGUGAAUUUAAGAAUCUAAAUGUACAGAUGAAACAAUCCAGUAGGGUUACAGUUGAGCUUGUCAUAGAAAUGUGAAGGGUCCAAAAACUUUAAAACAUCUUUGUGCUGGUGUGCAUUUUUUUCUCCAGAGAUGGCUUUCUUUUUAUGAAUGAUGCAAAUCUGCACUAACUUCGUACUCAACGUUGUUUAACAUGUAUGAAAAUUGUUCAUCAUUAAACAGAGAAUCAAAGCACUUCUAUUUUUGUACAUUAAUCACUUCAGAAUAUAAGGUGUAUGUAUAGCUUGAUGGCAAAUAUCGUUUUAAACCUUCGUGGCAUUUGAUGGUGCAGUGGGUAAAGGAAUCAGAUUUACAAUAACAUUUCACUUUACAUUUCCGUUAACAUCGCAACAAACCUUCUGCGAGGACAAUACUCUAUUAUGAGACAAGCAUGGAUACCACGAAGUGAAAAAGGUU